CGCGGGUUUGCUGGUCUCCUGUUUGCUCUCCUCCUCUUCAAACGUGAAACAAGAAGAAGCUCGAUGGUUCAAAAGGAAUCGCGCGCCACGUCGUCAACGGCGAAGCGGACAACUCACUGGGGCCGGUCACAACCUUGACUGGUGCGCAGGAACUCUUGGUAGUGGGUCUCCAGUCUUUUGAUGAUGCUGCGGUACUCCUCGGGGCGCAUUUUCGAGAUCUGCCAGACGAACCGCCGCGAGGAAGGAUCCCUUUCUGGAAAAAACAUGGACGCAAAAGCGGAAGACAAAUCUUUCUUUGAAUGUCGGGACCGAAAUCCGUACUCCGGCCUGAAAGCGUUGAGCGGUUCUGCCGUCUCGGAGCAACGCAAGCGAGGGUCUGUCUGCCCGAAAUCCCCAAAUUGGA